rnacentral:rRNA from 1 species
GACGAACGCUGGCGGCGUGCUUAACACAUGCAAGUCGAACGGAAAGGCCCUGCUUUUGUGGGGUGCUCGAGUGGCGAACGGGUGAGUAACACGUGAGUAACCUGCCCUUGACUUUGGGAUAACUUCAGGAAACUGGGGCUAAUACCGGAUAGGAGCUCCUGCUGCAUGGUGGGGGUUGGAAAGUUUCGGCGGUUGGGGAUGGACUCGCGGCUUGUCAGCUUGUUGGUGGGGUAGUGGCUUACCAAGGCUUUGACGGGUAGCCGGCCUGAGAGGGUGACCGGCCACAUUGGGACUAAGAUACGGCCCAGACUCCUACGGGAGGCAGCAGUGGGGAAUAUUGCACAAUGGGCGGAAGCCUGAUGCAGCAACGCCGCGUGCGGGAUGACGGCCUUCGGGUUGUAAACCGCUUUCGCCUGUGACGAAGCGUGAGUGACGGUAAUGGGUAAAGAAGCACCGGCUAACUACGUG